AGACUUUCUUAAAUUAUAUCAAUUUACAAAUACUUUAGGUGCCCACCAACUCCAAGAGAACAGAGCAAACUAAUUACACAAAGGAAGGCCUCUGCCAGCGCCUCCUCUCCCCAUGUCAGGUCCUCCUAUCAGGAAUCAUUAGGAAGCCCAAACAGCUUCACAGUUCCUGCUUCCCGACUGCUGUCAUA